GACGAACGCUGGCGGCGUGCUUAACACAUGCAAGUCGAACGGUAAGGCCCUCCGGGGUACACGAGUGGCGAACGGGUGAGUAACACGUGGGUGAUCUGCCCUGCACUUCGGGAUAAGCCUGGGAAACUGGGUCUAAUACCGGAUAGGACCACUGCCUGCUGGGGGGGUGGUGGAAAGCUUUUGCGGUGUGGGAUGGGCCGGCGGACUAUCGGCUUGUGGGUGGGGUGAGGGCCUGCCAAGGCGACGACGGGUAGCCGGCCUGAGAGGGUGACCGGGCACACUGGGACUGAGAGACGGCCCAGACUCCUACGGGGGGCAGCAGUGGGGAAUAUUGCACAAUGGGCGCAAGCCUGAUGCAGCGACGCCGCGUGAGGGAUGACGGCCUUCGGGUUGUAAACCUCUUUCAGCACCGACGAAGCGCAGGUGACGGUAGGUGCAGAAGAAGGACCGGCCAACUACGUGCCAGCCGCCGCGGUAA
rnacentral:rRNA from 1 species